rnacentral:rRNA from 1 species
UACGUACGUGGCGAGCGUUAUCCGGAAUUACUGGGCGUAAAGGGCUCGUAGGUGGCCAACUAAGUCAGACGUGAAAUCCCUCAGCUUAACUGGGGAACUGCGUCUGAUACUGGAUGGCUUGAGUUUGGGAGAGGGAUGCGGAAUUCCAGGUGUAGCGGUGAAAUGCGUUGAUAUCCUAAGGAACACCGGUGGCGAAAGCGGCGUACUGGGUCUUAUCUGACGCUGAGGCACGAAAGCUAGGGUAGCGAACGGG